GACGAACGCUGGCGGCGUGCUUAACACAUGCAAGUCGAACGGAAAGGCCCUGCUUGCAGGGUACUCGAGCGGCGAACGGGUGAGUAACACGUGGGUGAUCUGCCCUGCACUUCGGGAUAAGCCUGGGAAACUGGGUCUAAUACCGGAUAGGAGCCAUUUUUAGUGUGAUGGUUGGAAAGUUUUUUCGGUGUAGGAUGAGCUCGCGGCCUAUCAGCUUGUUGGUGGGGUAAUGGCCUACCAAGGCGGCGACGGGUAGCCGGCCUGAGAGGGUGGACGGCCACAUUGGGACUGAGAUACGGCCCAGACUCCUACGGGAGGCAGCAGUGGGGAAUAUUGCACAAUGGGCGCAAGCCUGAUGCAGCGACGCCGCGUGGGGGAUGACGGCCUUCGGGUUGUAAACUCCUUUCGCUAGGGACGAAGCUUUUUGUGACGGUACCUAGAUAAGAAGCACCGGCUAACUACGUG
rnacentral:rRNA from 1 species